rnacentral:rRNA from 1 species
UACAGAGGUGGCUAGCGUUGUUCGGAAUUACUGGGCGUAAAGGGAGCGCAGGCGGCUAAAUCAGUCUGAAGUGCAAGCCCGGGGCUCAACCCCGGAAUCGCUUUGGAUACUGUUUGGCUUGAGUAUGUCAGAGGUGAGCGGAAUUCCAGGUGUAGCGGUGAAAUGCGUAGAUAUCUGGAGGAACAUCCGUGGCGAAGGCGGCUCACUGGGACAACACUGACGCUGAGGCUCGAAAGCGUGGGGAGCGAACGGG